UUGUCCGGAAUUACUGGGUGUAAAGGGAGCGUAGGCGGGGAAGACAAGUUGAAUGUUUAAACUAUCGGCUCAACUGAUAGGUCGCGUUCAAAACUAUCACUCUUGAGUGCAGUAGAGGUAGGCGGAAUUCCUAGUGUAGCGGUGAAAUGCGUAGAUAUUAGGAGGAACACCAGUGGCGAAGGCGGCCUACUGGGCUGUAACUGACGCUGAGGCUCGAAAGCGUGGGUAGCAAACAGGAUUAGAUACCCUGGUAGUCCACGCCGUAAACGAUGAUUACUAGGUGUGGGGGGACUGACCCCUUCCGUGCCGGAGUUAACACAAUAAGUAAUCCACCUGGGGAGUACGACCGCAAGGUUGAAACUCAAAGGAAUUGACGGGGGCCCGCACAAGCAGUGGAGUAUGUGGUUUAAUUC
rnacentral:rRNA from 1 species